rnacentral:rRNA from 1 species
CAGUCGCCACGGGAAUACAGAGGGUGCGAGCGUUAAUCGGAUUUACUGGGCGUAAAGCGUGCGUAGGCGGCUUCUUAAGUCGGAUGUGAAAUCCCUGAGCUUAACUUAGGAAUUGCAUUCGAUACUGGGAAGCUAGAGUAUGGGAGAGGAUGGUAGAAUUCCAGGUGUAGCGGUGAAAUGCGUAGAGAUCUGGAGGAAUACCGAUGGCGAAGGCAGCCAUCUGGCCUAAUACUGACGCUGAGGUACGAAAGCAUGGGGAGCAAACAGGAUUAGAUACCCGUGUAGUCCCUGUCUCUUAUAA